UACAGAGGGUGCGAGCGUUAAUCGGAAUUACUGGGCGUAAAGCGUGCGUAGACGGUUAUUUAAGUCGGGUGUGAAAGCCCCGGGCUCAACCUGGGAAUUGCAUUCGAGACUGAAUAGCUAGGGUACGGUAGAGGGAAGCGGAAUUUCCGGUGUAGCGGUGAAAUGCGUAGAUAUCUGGAGGAAUACCGGUGGCGAAGGCGGCAUCCUGGACCGACAUUGACGCUGAACGGCGAAAGCUAGGGGAGCAAACGGG
rnacentral:rRNA from 1 species